AGAGUUUGAAUCUGGCUCAGGAUGAACGCUGGCGGCGUGCCUAAUACAUGCAAGUCGAACGAGUUCUUGUUGAUGAUCGGUGCUUGCACCAAGAUUCAACAUGGAACGAGUGGCGGACGGGUGAGUAACACGUGGGUAACCUGCCCUUAAGUGGGGGAUAACAUUUGGAAACAGAUGCUAAUACCGCAUAGAUCCAAGAACCGCAUGGUUCUUGGCUGAAAGAUGGCGUAAGCUAUCGCUUUUGGAUGGACCCGCGGCGUAUUAGCUAGUUGGUGAGGUAAUGGCUCACCAAGGCGAUGAUACGUAGCCGAACUGAGAGGUUGAUCGGCCACAUUGGGACUGAGACACGGCCCAAACUCCUACGGGAGGCAGCAGUAGGGAAUCUUCCACAAUGGACGCAAGUCUGAUGGAGCAACGCCGCGUGAGUGAAGAAGGCUUUCGGGUCGUAAAACUCUGUUGUUGGAGAAGAAUGGUCGGCAGAGUAACUGUUGUCGGCGUGACGGUAUCCAACCAGAAAGCCACGGCUAACUACGUGCCAGCAGCCGCGGUAAUACGUAGGUGGCAAGCGUUAUCCGGAUUUAUUGGGCGUAAAGCGAGCGCAGGCGGUUUUUUAAGUCUGAUGUGAAAGCCCUCGGCUUAACCGAGGAAGCGCAUCGGAAACUGGGAAACUUGAGUGCAGAAGAGGACAGUGGAACUCCAUGUGUAGCGGUGAAAUGCGUAGAUAUAUGGAAGAACACCAGUGGCGAAGGCGGCUGUCUGGUCUGUAACUGACGCUGAGGCUCGAAAGCAUGGGUAGCGAACAGGAUUAGAUACCCUGGUAGUCCAUGCCGUAAACGAUGAAUGCUAGGUGUUGGAGGGUUUCCGCCCUUCAGUGCCGCAGCUAACGCAUUAAGCAUUCCGCCUGGGGAGUACGACCGCAAGGUUGAAACUCAAAGGAAUUGACGGGGGCCCGCACAAGCGGUGGAGCAUGUGGUUUAAUUCGAAGCAACGCGAAGAACCUUACCAGGUCUUGACAUCUUUUGAUCACCUGAGAGAUCAGGUUUCCCCUUCGGGGGCAAAAUGACAGGUGGUGCAUGGUUGUCGUCAGCUCGUGUCGUGAGAUGUUGGGUUAAGUCCCGCAACGAGCGCAACCCUUAUGACUAGUUGCCAGCAUUUAGUUGGGCACUCUAGUAAGACUGCCGGUGACAAACCGGAGGAAGGUGGGGAUGACGUCAAAUCAUCAUGCCCCUUAUGACCUGGGCUACACACGUGCUACAAUGGAUGGUACAACGAGUUGCGAGACCGCGAGGUCAAGCUAAUCUCUUAAAGCCAUUCUCAGUUCGGACUGUAGGCUGCAACUCGCCUACACGAAGUCGGAAUCGCUAGUAAUCGCGGAUCAGCACGCCGCGGUGAAUACGUUCCCGGGCCUUGUACACACCGCCCGUCACACCAUGAGAGUUUGUAACACCCGAAGCCGGUGGCGUAACCCUUUUAGGGAGCGAGCCGUCUAAG
rnacentral:rRNA from 2 species